rnacentral:rRNA from 1 species
UACGGAGGGUGCAAGCGUUAUCCGGAUUCACUGGGUUUAAAGGGUGCGUAGGUGGGCAGGUAAGUCAGUGGUGAAAUCUCCGGGCUUAACUCGGAAACUGCCAUUGAUACUAUCUUUCUUGAAUACCGUGGAGGUCAGCGGAAUAUGUCAUGUAGCGGUGAAAUGCUUAGAUAUGACAUAGAACACCAAUUGCGAAGGCAGCUCACUACACAAUUAUUGACUCUGAGGCACGAAAGCGUGGGGAUCAAACAGG